CCCAGAUGGAUUAACCUAUAGGGUCCAUGUUGAAAAGCAACCUGGUGGAAUCUUCUUGCUUGACUGUUCGAGUAUUAACCUGCCUCCAUCGGUCCUGGGGACGUGCACAAGAGCAUUUAUGACAGUAAGGAAGGGUUUAUCGCUGAUUCCUGAAGUCUACUGCGGACAUGGGACGUUUAAUACAACAAGUACCCAAAAAGACCUGAUCGUAAUGGUGAAUAUUCCGCGCGGCUUCACAGGGAAAUUCUUUUGUUCCGUCAAAGAUAAUUCCAAGACUACCGAUUAAAUGAAGCUCAAUAUUUUAUUUGAA